rnacentral:rRNA from 1 species
GCGCGUAGGCGGUCACGCACGUCCGUUGUGAAAUCGCUCGGCUCAACUGGGCGGGGUCAGCGGAUACGGCGUGGCUGGAGCAAGCUAGGGGGCAAUGGAAUUCCCGGUGUAGUGGUGGAAUGCGUAGAUAUCGGGAGGAACACCAGUGGCGAAGGCGGUUGCCUGGAGCUUUGCUGACGCUGAUGCGCGAAAGCGUGGGGAGCGAUCCGGAUUAGAUACCCGGGUAGUCCACGCCGUAAACGAUGCGGACUAGGUGUCGGGGGUAUCGACCCCCUCGGCGCCGCAGCUAACGCAUUAAGUCCGCCGCCUGGGGACUACGGCCGCAAGGCUAAAACUCAAAGGAAUUGACGGGGGCCUGCACAAGCAGCGGAGCGUGUGGUUUAAUUCGAUGCAACGCGCAGAACCUUACCUCGGCUUGACAUGCACGUGGUACCAAGGGGAAACCUGAGGGACCCGCAAGGGAGCGUGCACAGAUGCUGCAUGGCUGUCGUCAGCUCGUGCUGUGAGGUGUUGGGUUAAGUCCCGCAACGAGCGCAACCCUUGUCCCUUAGUU